rnacentral:sRNA from 10 species
UCAUGUGUGAGGGAAAACUUCACGGGUUGGAAACAAGGACACACCCCCGUGAGGUUUCGGA